rnacentral:lncRNA from 1 species
GAGUAUUAUUGCUGUGGAGCUCUGUUAUACACUCAGACACAUUACUGGGAGUAUUAUUACUGUGGAGCUCUGUUAUACACGCAGACACAUUACUGGGAGUAUUAUUGCUGUGGAGCUCUGUUAUACACGCAGACACAUUACUGGGAGUAUUAUUGCUGUGGAGCUCUGUUAUACACUCAGACACAUUACUGGGAGUAUUAUUGCUGUGGAGCUCUGUUAUAC